rnacentral:rRNA from 1 species
UAAAGCGUGCGCAGGCGGUUAUAUAAGACAGAUGUGAAAUCCCCGGGCUCAACCUGGGAACUGCAUUUGUGACUGUAUAGCUAGAGUACGGUAGAGGGGGAUGGAAUUCCGCGUGUAGCAGUGAAAUGCGUAGAUAUGCGGAGGAACACCGAUGGCGAAGGCAAUCCCCUGGACCUGUACUGACGCUCAUGCACGAAAGCGUGGGGAGCAAACAGGAUUAGAACCCCGGU